rnacentral:rRNA from 1 species
GGCGAACGCUGGCGGCGUGCUUAACACAUGCAAGUCGAACGGAAAGGCCCUGCUUUUGUGGGGUGCUCGAGUGGCGAACGGGUGAGUAACACGUGAGUAACCUGCCCUUGACUUUGGGAUAACUUCAGGAAACUGGGGCUAAUACCGGAUAGGAGCUCCUGCUGCAUGGUGGGGGUUGGAAAGUUUCGGCGGUUGGGGAUGGACUCGCGGCUUAUCAGCUUGUUGGUGGGGUAGUGGCUUACCAAGGCUUUGACGGGUAGCCGGCCUGAGAGGGUGACCGGCCACAUUGGGACUGAGAUACGGCCCAGACUCCUACGGGAGGCAGCAGUGGGGAAUAUGGCACAAUGGGCGGAAGCCUGAUGCAGCAACGCCGCGUGCGGGAUGACGGCCUUCGGGUGGUAAACCGCUUUCGCCUGUGACGAAGCGUGAGUGACGGUAAUGGGUAAAGAAGCACCGGCUAACUACGU